rnacentral:rRNA from 1 species
GACGAACGCUGGCGGCGCGCCUAACACAUGCAAGUCGAGCGGAAACGAUGGGAGCUUGCUCCCAGGCGUCGAGCGGCGGACGGGUGAGUAAUACUUAGGAAUCUGCCUAGUAGUGGGGGAUAGCUCGGGGAAACUCGAAUUAAUACCGCAUACGACCUACGGGUGAAAGGGGGCACUUUGUGCUCUCGCUAUUAGACGAGCCCAAGUCGGAUUAGCUAGUUGGUGGGGUAAAGGCCUACCAAGGCGACGAUCUGUAGCUGGUCUGAGAGGAUGAUCAGCCACACCGGGACUGAGACACGGCCCGG